rnacentral:lncRNA from 1 species
CUGAUGCCAAAUUCCUGCUUACCUGGCCUCCCUUCCCUUCGAUUGAGCAGUUAUUUGACAGAAUCUACCCAUUGUGGCCUAGUUGUAGAAACAGCUUCAUAGCAGAACUUGUGUAGGGAGUCAAGUCAUGGAAACUGGGUGCCCAAAGCAUUACGGAAUCAUGAGACAAGAAGAGGGAGAGUUGCAACAGUUUAUAGAAGGUUGAAAGUGAAACUGGAAAGAAUCAGCACUGAAAAGAGACGUUUUUGACUUCAGGCUAGUGCCCAAGCCUCAGUUUAGUUAAUCCUGGUCUUAUCCAGGCUAAAACACAGACUGACGUCACAACUUUGGAAUCCCUGGGAGCUGGCAAGCCCUGGUCCAAGGAAUUUUCCAUUUCAGGUGCAGCGCCCGGCAGCCCCUGACUGGCUUUGGUCCUGUGCGUGUAGACCUGAAAGCUCUCCUCAGCGUUGUCAGUGGAAAACCUGGGGGCGGCGCGCAGCGUGAGACCGUGGCCAGUCGCAGUCCAUCGCUGGUGUCUCAGAUCACUCUGACAACCGGGAUGAGGGAACUGAGCCUUGGAGAAAAGAACUCACUUAAUGCCACACACCAGGAAGCGGGAUUGCUGCCGUUGGAACCCAAAUCUGACACCAAAUCUGACUUUCUUUUCCCUGGACCAUACCAACAGCGAGGAGACGCUAAGGACAUUGGAACUGCUAGGUGUUUGCCAUU